UCCCAGAAGGAGCCACUCACUGGAGAC
rnacentral:piRNA from 1 species